AAGAAAGGUACCUUUCCAGUUCGUGCAGCAAAUCUUGCAGAAGAACCUGUGACGUUAACAGAGGGUCAACACAUUGCAAAUGUAAUUCCAGUAAACCUAGUUGUGGAUAUUAAUGAUGUCAAUAAAGUCAGUGAUUCAGUAGAUGAUUAUUAUUCGUGGUUAAAGUCUGUAAAUUUGGAACAUUUGACGGCGGAAGAAAAAGGCAAAGUAAAUCAACUUUUAGGAGCAAACAAAGAAGUUUUUUUUCUAAAUCUGCAUAUGAUCUUGGGAAAACGGAUGUGCUGAAGCAUAAAAUUGACAUUGGUGGGGCAAAACCUGUUAAAUGUAGGAGCUAUCGCUAUUCCCCUAGAGAGCGUCAAAUUAUAGAAGAUGAGGUGAAAAGGCUUAGGGAGGCAGGGAUUGUUGAAGACAGUAUUUCCCCGUGGGCGUUCCCAAUAGUUUUGGCUAAGAGGAAAGACGGGUCGCCACGUCUGUGUGUGGACUUUCGUAAACUGAACAAUUUGACAGUUAAAUGUGCCCAACCCCUCCCAGUGUUUAAGGAAGUACUCCAGUCUCUUGAAGGUGUUAAGUAUUUUUCUACUCUAGAUUUGAGAAGUUGUUUCUAUCAGAUUCCCUUGAACGAGAAUGACCAUGAGAAGACGGCAUUCACCACUGGUCAACGCCUGAUGCAGUUAACCGUCCUCCCUAUGUGAUCAUGCAACAGCCCAGCCUCGUUCCAGUGUAUGAUGACUCUUUCGCUAGCUCCAAUGGUUGAUGACAAGGGAAAUGAACGAGUUGUAGAGUAUGCAAGUAGAGCUUUAACUAAGGCAGAGCCGAAGUACGGAAUCACGGAUAGAGAAGCCAUAUAUUUAUGGACAGCAUGUCACAUUUCGCGUAGAUCAUAACCCCCUGGCUCAACUUAAGAAAAUGCCAGACCCAACUCAUCGCAGAGCUAGAUGGCUGGACAAAUUAGAAACUCUUGAUUAUGAGAUAUCAUACAGAACAGGGAAACAUCAUUUAAAAUGCAGAUGCAUUAUCAACAGCAUUUAAUCAGGAGGAUGUUUCAGCCAUAGAGUUGGAUGAUGAAAUUAACAUAAGACAGCGGCAAGAGAAAGACCCCAACCUGAGGGAAAUCAUCGAAAGAACAUUGUCGAGUAAGCGUUUAACCAAAGAGGAUAUUUCUAGUAGACCAACCCAAUUUAGUUGCUAUGGAAACAAAUGAAUUAUUUAAAGAUAGUCAAUGGAGUAUUGUUUCGAGUUGUUGGUGAUAAUAGACAGGUAGUUAUACCAGAAUCAAUGAUUCCACAAAUACUGCACUGGAAUCAUGAUGAUAAAGGGCACUUAGGAUUCCACCGCACGUACACUAGAAUUCAGAGAAUUUAUUAUUGGCCGGCGAUGCAUGAUGAUAUUUCUAAGCACUGUAAACAGUGUGAUCAGUGUUGCAGGUUGAAGGGACCACCACGUACGCUAAGGGCACCUCUGAAGUCUAUCAACACUGAUGACCUUUAACCAUUCAGUAUGAUUGGUGUGGAUAUCACAGGCCUCUUACCAGAGUCAGCACAGGGUAACAAGUACAUUUAAGUUAUUAUUGAUUUCAAGACCAGGUAUGUUCAAGCAUGUUCCCAGAUGAUAAUGCAGGGACAGUUGCAAAACUUUUGACAGCUAAUUGGGUCCUAGUUUAUGGAGUCUCAGAAGUUUUGUUAACUGAUCAGGGUCCAAAUUUUGACAGUGAGUUAAUGGAAGAAGUCACCAAAAUCCUAGGAGUUGAGAAGCGCAGAACAACUGCAUACCAUCAUCAAUGUAACUGUCUAUGUGAACGACAGAUGCGCACAGUCAAGACCAUGCUUGCUUCACAUUGUGAGAAAGAUCAUAGAACAUGGGACAUAUUCUUGCAGGCAGAUAUUUUUGCCUAUAAUACAUCCCUUCAAGCAUCACUCAGGAUGACACCUUGAACAAGUGUUUGGUCAUGUACCAAGGAAUGAGGAUAUAGUUAGACUUGGCAGAGGAACCUUAGUGUUUAUUACUCAGAACAGAUCUAACUUUGCAAAUGCAUUGAUUCGUAAGCUUCAUGAGGCAUCCCAGAAUU